CCCACGGCCCUCUUUAGGGCCACCACCAUUGCGUCAUCAAAUUUGG
rfam:Hymenolepis microstoma genomic scaffold, pathogens_HYM_scaffold_0005